UUGCUCUGAGUUCUCUGUCAGGUUCCUCUCCAGGUUUUGUCCAGGGUUUUGUUUCAAGGAAACCUUAGAGUAUUUUGCUUCUCUUCCUUUUUCUGUCUGAUCUCCCUCUUUUAUAUCCUGAUUUUCAUGGCUUUGUGGGCUCAAAUGAGAGAGGUCCAAGUCCAAGUUUUUUCUAUUAUAUUUUAUUAUUAUUAUUAUUAUUAUUUAUUUAUUUAUUUAUUUUUUCGUUUUUUUUUCGUUUUUUUCGUUUUUUUUUUUUGGAUCUAAUUCUGAUUGACAU
rnacentral:lncRNA from 1 species